rnacentral:rRNA from 1 species
AUUGAACGCUGGCGGCAGGCCUAACACAUGCAAGUCGAACGAGUGGCGGACGGGUGAGUAAUGUCUGGGAAACUGCCUGAUGGAGGGGGAUAACUACUGGAAACGGUAGCUAAUACCGCAUACCAUCGGAUGUGCCCAGAUGGGAUUAGCUAGUAGGUGGGGUAAAGGCUCACCUAGGCGACGAUCCCUAGCUGGUCUGAGAGGAUGACCGGCCACAAGGGAACGUAGACACGGUGCAGACUCCUACGGGAGGCAGCAUUGGGGAAUAUUGAACAAUGGGCGCAAGCCUGAUGCAGCCAUGCCGCGUGUAUGAAGAAGGCAUUCGUGUUGUACAGUACUUUCAGCGUGGAGGCGUUCCCCUCAGAAGAAGCACCGGCUAACUCCGUGCCAGCAGCCGCGGUAAUUC